rnacentral:lncRNA from 15 species
AUUGUAAUUAAGCUAGUAGCUAUAUUGUAAUUAAGCUAAGCUAAUAGCUAUAUUGUAAUUAAGCUAAUAGCUAUAUUGUUAUUAAGCUAGUAGCUAUAUUGUUAUUAAGCUAGUAGCUAUAUUGUAAUUAAGCUAAGCUAAUAGCUAUAUUGUAAUUAAGCCAAUAGCUAUAUUGUAAUUAAGCUAGUAGCUAUAUUGUAAUUAAGCUAAGCUAAUAGCUAUAUUGUAAUUAAGCUAAGCUAAUAGCUAUAUUGUAAUUAAGCUAAUAGCUAUAUUGUUAUUAAGCUAGUAGCUAUAUUGUUAUUAAGCUAAGCUAGUAGCUAUAUCGUUUUAAGCUAGUAGCUAUAUUGUUAUUAAGCUAGUAGCUAUAUUGUUUUAAGCUAGUAGCUAUAUUGUUAUUAAGCUAAGCUAGUAGCUAUAUUGUUAUUAAGCUAGUAACAUUAGCUCUGUGGCUCGUAGCAUAGCAUUAGCUCUCUGUAACGUUAGCUCGUAGCAUAGCAUUAGCUCUCUGUAACGUUAGCUUGUAAUCAGUCAAUAAAGUUAUUACAAACUGCUGCUGCUGUCUGUACAGCUGAUGUUGGGGUUUGUUGUUCUCUCAGUCUGUCAGGUGGAGGUGGAGGAGGGGGCGGAGUCUGUCCAACUGCCCUUCAAGACCACAGCUAACCUGCCUGAGGACGCUAGAGUGGCAUGGGGACGCAUUGAACCUGAACCCAUAAUAAUAGUCCAUGUGUAUCAGAACGGUUCUGAUCAGCCAGAAAUACAGAACCAGGAUUACAGAGACCGAACUGAGAUGAAGGAAGACCUGCUGAAAGCUGGAGACCUCAGUCUGACCCUGAAAUCCCCCAAAGAGAGAGACACAGGAAGAUACUACUGCAGAGUCGACAACAAGAACAUCUGGAGAUGGAAAACAGUGGAGCUCACAGUCAGAGGUCAGUACUGUAGAUACAGGUCAGAGGUCAGUACUGUAGAUACAGGUCAGAGGUCAGUACUGUAGAUACAGGUCAGAGGUCAGUACUGUAGGUACAGGUCAGAGGUCAGUACUAUAGAUACAGGUCAGAGAUCAGUACUGUAGAUACAGGUCAGAGGUCAGUACUGUAGAUACAGGUCAGAGAUCAGUACUGUAGAUACAGGUCAGAGAGCAGUACUGUAGAUACAGGUCAGAGGUCAGUACUAUAGAUACAGGUCAGAGGUCAGAUGUCUCUGUGUCUGUCUGUGUCUGACUGUCCUCUGUCUCCUCUGCAGGGAGAACCAGGAACAGAAGCAGCUCCAUUGAUCCAACUCCUCUGAUGGCUGAUCAAUCUGUUUGAUUGGUCUGUUGAUCAAUCUUUGAUUAUUGAUCUUGUUGAAGGGGCUCAAAGGAAGAGAAUGUCAACGUUCAGCUUUCAGUGUUUCCUCUCUUCAUCGUCUGAAAUAACCUGCAGUCCAUACUGUGAUUGAUUGAUUGAUUGAUUGAUUGAUUGAUUGAUUGAUUGGUCUCAUGUAGCUCUAUAAUGUUUCUCUGAUGUUUGUGUAUUCAGCUUCUAUACAUAUAUAUGUGGCUGUGUCUCAGGAGGUAGAGCGGGUCGUCCACUGAUCAGAAGGUCACUGGUUCGAUCCCCGGCUCCUCCCGCUGCAUGUCGAAGUGUCCUUGAGCAAAAUACUGAACCCCAAACUGCUCCUGAUGCUGAAUCACUGUAUGGAUGUGUGAAUGAGUGAAUGUGUGAAUCAGUGAAUGAAUGAGUGAAUGAGUGAAUGAAUGAAUGAGUGAAUGAGUGAAUGUGUGAAUGAGUGAAUGUGGCCUGCUGUGGAGACGCUGGUCUCUCUCGUCUCCUCCUCCUGAGUCAGGUUGGCGAGUGGUGAUGUAUCCUCAGUUCCCACAUUACAAUCUGUGACAAUAACUUACAAUGUGUAACUGAGUCCACUGGGACCAGUUUGCCUUAAUCCAAUAUAUAUUUUAAUCUUUUUGUAUUACAGUUCUGCACAAAGGUGCUUUAUAAAUAAAGUUCUGAUUGAAUUCAGUCUGCUCUCUAAUAAAAAGUCUUCUUAGAAAUCAAUGAACCACUUUGUGUUUUGUCUUCUAGACCAGUCAGAGUAUCCUAGUGAAGCCUGGAGAUGAUGCUCCUCUUCAGUGUCGGGUUCUGUUGGACUGGAUCAUCUCUUAAUUUAUGCCUUAAUUAUUUAUAUUUGUGUCCUGCACUGAGCCAAAAUACUGUAAAAUCACAGGAAAUAUCUGCCAGCAGCGUGUACAAUGUGCAACCUACUGCUGAUUUCUAAAGAAUACACCUAACUUAAGUGAAGUUUUUGAUUUGAUCCCCAGUUAUUGUGCUAAUAUUAAGACUCAGGAUUGUUUUAUUUGGGAUCUAUUCUGCCCUCUAAACUUAUAAAUGUUUUAUCUUGUGACAGAAUUCAGUGUCGCUCUAACUUAAAGAUUAUACAACCAUAAACUGUUACAAUGCACACCCUGUAGCUACGUCAUCAUUUAUGUAACUUCAACUUGUAACAGCAAUUUUAACAUUUUAUAACAGAGAUUUGAUUGAUAUUCAUUUAUUUAUAAGACAAGAAUCUUAUUCUAAGAACAAGUUUCCAUAAAUGUUACAAUUUAAAUACAUUUAAUUGGUUAAACAUCUAAAAAUGAUAUUUGAGGAUUAUUUUAUUCUUAAU